UUCAAAACACUCCCCAUAUUAACCAUAACUUUUAUUCUAUUUUCAACAAGUUUACACAAUUAUAAAAGCGAGAUUUUCGAAAGGAAUGGGGAGUAACUUGCAAUUUACGAAAACUUGGAAAGCAUAUAAACUCCUGCACUUUCUAAGUCUUUGGCGGUGGUUGAAUCAUAGAUAAAAGGAGCAACCGACAUUGAAUCGUGAAAAAAGAAAUUGAAUUUACGAAAGGUUCUGCAACAUCUGGAGGAGUAAGUGAGUGUUGUUAAUCAGGAUUAAUACACAGAUUUUGUAGAGAAAUCAUGUCGGGUUCAGUUCAUAGACAGAAAAAGAGAAGAAAAAAGUUUACAGUCUUGAAUCCAUUGAUAAAAAAAACGUUAUCAAACCAUACAUGAAAUCACUUGCAAAAGGGAAGUAGUAAUCAGAGGAUUUGGCAGAUAUUAAGAAAAGAUUGCGUUCUACAUCCCACAUCGGUUGGAGUAAAAAUUCUUCUCACUGUUUUAUACAUCAAACGGACUGCAAUUAUUGCCGAGCUUGGUAACGCGAGCUUGUGACUCUAGUGAGGGCUUUAAAGUGGGUUGGACUGAGAUUGAGCCAAGUUUGGUUGGGUUAAGCUGUUGCAAAAUCUGGCUUGCCCGUUCCAAGUUCGGAGUUGGAUCAUGUGGCUCGAGCGAAGGCUUGGGCUUCAUGGCUCCUAGAGCAGAGGGUAAUGCGUUAGGCUGGCUUCACAGAGCUGCGAAUACUUCUCGCUUCGAACAGUGGAAGGAUAACAAGUCGGUGCUCUCUUGGCCCAUAAUAACCAGCCUGGCUCCUUCUAAUGGACUCCCACUUUU